rnacentral:rRNA from 1 species
AGAGGUCGAUCCUGGCUCAGGAUUGAACGCUGGCGCAUGCCUUAACCACAUGCAAGUCGAACGGGAAGUUGGUGUUUCCAGUGGCGAACGGGGAGUAACGCGUAAGAGAACCUGCCCUGGGAGGGAACAACCACGGAAACGGUUGCUAAUACCACGUAGGCUGCGGAGCAAAGAAAAGGAGAAAAUCCGCCCCAAAGGAGGGGCUCGGUCUGAUUAAGCUAGUUGGUGAGGCAUAGCUACAAGGCGGAUGAUCAGUAGCUGGUCCGAGAGGAAUGAUCAAGCCACACUGGGACUGAGACACGGCCCAGACUCCUACGGGAGGCAGCAGUGUGGAAUUUUCCGCAAUGGGCGAAAGCAUGACGAGCAAUGCCGCGUGGAAGGUGGAAGGCCUACGGGUCGUUCAAACUUUUGUUCUCGGGAAGAAACAUGACGGUAUCUGAGGAAAUAAGCAUCGGCUAACUCUGUGCCAGCAGCCGCGGUAGACAGAGGAAGAGAUGCAAGCGGUUAUCCGGAAAAUAUGGGGCGUAAAGCGCUGUAGGUGGUUUUCAAGUCCGCCGUCAAUCCCAGGGCGCAACCUGGGCAGGCGGUGGAAAAUACCAAGCUGGAGUCGGUAGGGGGCCAGAGGGAAUUUUCCGGGUGGAGCGAGUGAAAUGACAUUGGGAUCGGAAAAGAACACCAACGGCCGAAAGACACUCUGCUGGGCCGACACUGACACCUGAGAACGAAAGCUAGGGGAGCAAAAUGGAUUAGAGACCCCCAGUAGUCCUAGCCGUAAACGAUGGAUACUAGGUGUGUGCGACUCGACCGUGCAGUGCGUGUGGAGCUAAGCGUAAGUAUCCCGCCUGGAGGGUACGUCGCAAGAAUGAAACUCAAAGGAAUUGACGGGGGCCCCGCCCAAUCGGUGGAGCAUGUGGUGUAAUUGAGCAAGCAAGAAACCUUACCCAGGGUUGACAUGCCGCGAAUCCUCUUUGAAAGAGAGGGGUUUGCCCGCGGGAACGCGGACAAAGGUGGUGCAUGGCUGUCGUCAGCUCGUGCCGGCGUCGUAAGAUGUUGGGUAAGUCUCGCAACGAGCGCAACCCUCGUGUUUCGUUGCCACUAUGAGUUUGGACCCUGACAAGACCGCCGGUGGUUAAGCCGGAGGGGAAGGAGAGGAUGAGGCCAAGUCAUCAUGCCCUUAUGCCCUGGGAGACACACGUGCUAAAAUGGGCGGGAACAAAGGGUUCGUCGCGAUCCGCGAGGGUGAGCUAACUCCAAAAAACCGUCCUCAGUCGGAUUGCAGGCCGCAACUUCGCCUGCAUGAAGCAGGAAUCGCUAGUAAGUAAGGCCGGUCAGCCAUACGCGGGUGAUCCGUCCCGGGCCUUGACACACCGCCUCACACUAUAGGAGCUGGCCAGGUUUUGAAGUCAUUACCCUUAACCGUAAGGAGGGGGAUGCCUAAGGCUAGGCUUGCGAAGGAGUGAAGUCGUAAAUUUCAAGUGGUUAGCCGUACUGGAAGGUGCGGCUG